AAGAUCCCGCCAAAGGUCUUUGUAUGCGGAGAUUCUUCUUUAUUCCUUACACAAGUUAGUUUUCUAGAUAGAGAGGACUCCAACUGCAAGAGGAAUAAACACUAGUUGAAGUUUAAUUGUUAAACUUUUUCAGUGACUGUUUAGGUUUAGCUGUUACUGUCAAGAUGAGAUUAUAUAUUAUUCCUACUUUUGCCACUGUGCUCUUGGUGAGCUUCCUUGUCUGUGUUAAUUCAGAUGAAAAUGAGACAACAGUAGGAACGACCCCCAGUACGACAGUGACGACAGUAACAACGGAGGCCCCGCAGACAACCACCACAUCUGGCGGAACCUCCACAGCCACCACCGGAUUUCUCCUAGCUCUCCUUCCCUACUUCAUCUGGGAAAUCCUACUACUUUAAAAAGCUAGAUCCGCAAACUUAACAAACAUUGCAUAACAGCAAAUUAUGAAAAUAGUUAUCACUAAUACUUUUUUUUCAAAAAUAGUGUCUUUUCUUUUCAACGUGGUUGGACCAUGUUGUUUUAAUCCUUAAAUUGAAAUUAUUUUGAUGGCAGAUUUUGUUUUAAUGCUAUUAGAUUCGAUUCCAAGACGUGUAUAUGUUUUGUUUCUGUAUAACUUAACAAUUAAAUUGUCUUCUUUAAUCCGGAAACUGUUAACUGAAAUUAAAUAAAGAUAUAAAAUAC